GACCGCUCCGGUGGCCUAAUGGUUAGACCAUCUGCCUAGGAUGCAGGCGGUUGCAGGUUCAAACCCAGGGCGAGUCA